GUUUUAGAACCAACAAGCAAAAAAAUAAGCUUAUAUGGAAGGAAAAUUAAUCAACCUAAACAUUUUAAAGAUUUUGUUCUUCAAAAUGAAAAGAAAGAAUAUGAGUCAAAAUAUCCUAUGAGUAAUCAUGUCUCAUAUAAUAGGAUAAAUAAGCAACACAAACAAUACUUAAAACAAAUAACAAUUAAUAAUGAGCCAA
rnacentral:lncRNA from 1 species